rfam:Trichomonas vaginalis G3, whole genome shotgun sequence.
UAAUUGGAUUUUUUGAAAUCCACCUGCAGUAGGAUAAAGGAGAUGU